GAUGAACGCUGGCGGCGUGCCUAAUACAUGCAAGUCGAGCGACCAGACGAGGAGCUUUCUCCUCUGACGUUAGCGGCUGACGGGUGAGUAACACGUGGAUAACCUACUUAUAAGACUGGGAUAACUUCGUGAAACCGGAGCUAAUACCGGAUAAUAUAUUCAACCGCAUGGUUCAAUAGUGAAAGACGGUUUUGCUGUCACUUAUAGAUGGAUCCGCGCCGCAUUAGCUAGUUGGUAAGGUAACGGCUUACCAAGGCAACGAUGCGUAGCCGAUCUGAGAGGAUGAUCGGCCACACUGGAACUGAGACACGGUCCAGACUCCUACGGGAGGCAGCAGUAGGGAAUAUUCGGCAAUGGGCGAAAGCCUGACGGAGCAACGCCGCGUGAGUGAUGAAGGUCUUCGGAUCGUAAAACUCUGUUAUUAGGGAAGAACAAAUGUGUAAGUAACUAUGCACGUCUUGACGGUACCUAAUCAGAAAGCCACGGCUAACUACGUG
rnacentral:rRNA from 1 species